AUUGAACGCUGGCGGAAUGCUUUACACAUGCAAGUCGAGCGGCAGCACGGGGGCAACCCUGGUGGCGAGCGGCGAACGGGUGAGUAAUACAUCGGAACAUGCCCAGUCGUGGGGGAUAACACUUCGAAAGAAGUGCUAAUACCGCAUACGUCCUGAGGGAGAAAGCGGGGGAUCUUCGGACCUCGCGCGAUUGGAGUGGCCGAUGUCAGAUUAGCUAGUUGGUGGGGUAAAGGCCUACCAAGGCAACGAUCUGUAGCUGGUCUGAGAGGACGACCAGCCACACUGGGACUGAGACACGGCCCAGACUCCUACGGGAGGCAGCAGUGGGGAAUUUUGGACAAUGGGCGCAAGCCUGAUCCAGCCAUGCCGCGUGUGUGAAGAAGGCCUUCGGGUUGUAAAGCACUUUCGGACGGAACGAAAUCGCGCGGGUGAACAAUCCGCGUGGAUGACGGUACCGUAAGAAGAAGCACCGGCUAACUACGUGCCAGCCGCCGCGGUAACAC
rnacentral:rRNA from 1 species